UACAGAGGUCUCAAGCGUUGUUCGGAUUCAUUGGGCGUAAAGGGCGCGUAGGCGGCAAGGCAAGUCGGGUGUGAAAGGCUUGGGGCUUAACCCCGAAAGGGCACUCGAAACUGCCCUGCUAGAGGGCCGGAGAGGAGAUCGGAAUUCACGGUGUAGCAGUGAAAUGCGUAGAGCUCGUGAGGAAGACCGGUGGCGAAGGCGGAUCUCUGGACGGCCCCUGACGCUGAGGCGGCGAAGGCUAGGGGAGCAAACGGG
rnacentral:rRNA from 1 species